GCCUCAUUAGCUCAGGGGAUAGAGCACUGGUCUAGUAAACCAGGGGCCCAGAGUUUAAAUCUCUGAUGAGGCU
rnacentral:tRNA from 1 species